AACAAUACAUGUAUGAGAGGGAACAAGGACACAGCAAACCAACAGACAUUUAAGCAUUCAGAGAGAAGACACUGGUGUGGUAGGGAGCUGGGAGGGGAAUUUUGAGGAGAGGAACUGGCUGUGUUUGGGCACUUACCCACUGUGCAGACUUUCCUGAAGUCAGGGCAGCACUCCAUGUAGUCGUGACACUUAAAAUCACACUGGCAGUCAUGCUCUCUAGAAUACCCUGCCCCACAUCUCCCUGCACAGCUUGAUACAUCUAAAAUUACACAACACUGGUGUAAGCAUUGCCAAACCACAACGGUCCUUAAGGAAAUGAUAAAUGGAAAAGGAGUAAAUUUUCUCUCUCUUUUUUUUUUACAGAAUGUGGUUUCUUCACUCAGUACUGCAGAAGCUGAGGGCCUGGUGUGACCCCUCCUGAAGGUGUGGGGAGCAGAGGUUUGCUCUGAGCCAGCCUGAGGACCAGCAGCAGCACGUGUUCAGUGUAUAGGCUAAUUCUACUGAAUCACAGCUGCAUGAAAACAAGAGAUUUAACUAUAGGAAGAAAAAAAGUCAAGCACGACUUGAUUAACGUGAAGAAUGACCCAGGAUAAGAAGAAUGAAGAAAAUUAACACGAGAAAGACCUCCCCCUGAGCACUGCAGGGAUGGCUCUCUGUACCUUGGCAGGUUCUGCCGUUGGGCAUGAGGCGGUAUCCUGCAGGACAGACACACUGGAAGCUGCCCAGGCUGUUCCUGCACUCGUGCUGACACG